UCGGAUACCUAGAGCGAUGGAUGGGUUCAUGCUGGAUGAUUUUAUGAACUUGAUUAUAAUGUUUAUGGGAAGUCCCAACUAUAUCAAGAACCCUUACCUCAGAGCAAAGAUGGUAGAAGUCUUGAUCUGCUGGAUGCCAGAAAGAAGUGGUUCAUCUUCAACAGCUUCCCUUUUUGAGGGUCAUCAAUUUGCCGUGGAGUAUCUUGUCAGGAAUCUUCUGAAGCUUUACGUUGACAUUGAGAU